CCAAUAGCGUAUAUUAAAGUUGUUGCAGUUAAAAAGCUCGUAGUUGAAUUUCGGAAUCGACGGAUUGGUCGCGCCUUCGGUGUGUACUGGUCUUGCCGGUUUCUCCCUUCUGACGAACCACGAUGUCAUUAAUUUGGUGUCGUGGGGAAUCAGGACUGUUACUUUGAAAAAAUUAGAGUGUUUAAAGCAGGCAUUAGCUUGAAUACAUUAGCAUGGAAUAAUGAAAUAGGACGUUUGAUCUUAUUUUGUUGGUUUCUAGGAUCGACGUAAUGAUUAAUAGGGAUAGUUGGGGGCAUUAGUAGUCAAUUGUCAGAGGUGAAAUUCUUGGAUUUAUUGAAGACUAACUACUGCGAAAGCAGUUGCCAAGGAUGUUUUCAUUAAUCAAGAACGAAAGUUAGGGGAUCGAAGACGAUCAGAUACCGUCGUAGUCUUAACCAUAAACUAUGCCGACUAGGGAUCGGAUGAUGUUAAUUUUUUAAUGACUCAUUCGGCGCCUUACG
rnacentral:rRNA from 1 species